CGUCGGGGUAUGGUCACCACGGGUACGGAGCUCCUCCUCCAUAUGGGCAUGGGUCCCAUCACGGUGCCGGUGUGGGGGUGUUAGCCGGGCUGCGCUGCAGCCGGCGCAGCCGCUGCUUACGGGGCCCCACCAUUCUCUCGUCUCACGGGCACGCAUCGCACGGGCUUUCUUCCUACGGCCACCACGCGUGGCUACGGAUACGGCCGCCACGGCAAAUUCAAGCACGGGAAAUUCACCAAGAAGUACUUCGGGAGCCGCAGCAGGUUCGGAGGAACGCUCACAUUUGGUGGCAAGUUCAAGAAGUGGAAGUGAAAAAAGGAAAAAAAAAACUAUCAAUCUUGAUGGAUGAUUGCCUUGCUUUGCUUAUGAUUAUACUAUGUUUCAAUAAGGUCUAUAAAAUUCUUAUGGCCCCCUAAUUGUAUUAAGGGUCUAAUGCUUGGUGUUAUGACCAUCAGUUUGUGACCGUAUUAUGUAUGGCAUGUGUACUGGGUUACAUUCCCUUGUUUGUUCGUGUGGCUGCAGGUUUAUUUUGAACUGUGGAAUAUAAACCUGUACAUGUGUUCUA